rnacentral:lncRNA from 13 species
GCUGUUGUAGCUGUGCCCAGCGGAGCUGCAGCCAGACCCCAAGACCUCCAGGCCCUCUUCAGAGAGGCCACCCAGAUCCUGAAGGAACCUGUAGAGGCCAUGUCUGGGCCCCUGAGGACCUACACGAAGAAACUACAGUUCAUGAUGAGGAAGAUAAAGGAAGUGGAUAUGGAUGCCCUCUCCCCCUCCACAGAAUGCUCAGCUGAGACUCUACAGAAACUGAAGCUGGCUUUACCUGAGGUGAGGAUGAUGACUUCCUUCGUAUAUUUACUUUAAAUAUGAAAAUAACCUUUUUUUAUGCCUACGGUCCUGUUUCUGGUCUGUGGGUUCUUAAUAUCGCGUGGACAGACUACAUAAACACAAUCGAGCAUCUGACCAAAUUACGUAAGAUUUUUGUUUGCGGUAAUGAAUGUGUACGCUGUUUGUUUCUAUGUGUGUGUGUGUGUGUGUGUGUGUGUCUGUAGGUGAUGCAGACGCUGGUUGAGGCUGAGCAGGUGUGUGUGGAGCUGCAGCACAGUGUGUCUGGUCUGGACUGCCGCCUGGCAGAGCUCCUGCACUGGGAGACAGAGGCCCGGGACCUCUACCAGAUCUUGAAGGCAGGAGAACGCAGGGCUUUACGGUGCCAGGACCCCCGCGCCAGGGUAAGACUUAGACAGGGGCCAAUAGUAACAUACUAGACUAAGGAAAACAUCAUAUAAGUGCCAAAGGAAUAAGGUAAACAGCAGUAGCUUUACUCGAAUAGUUAGCUAGCCUGGUUAGGAAUGUAGUAACAAGGUAUGUAAGCAUGUUCAACACAGGGGCUAGACAAGCAUUGAUAGUUAUGUGCUGGGUGAAGAUCAGAGUAUUACCUUGUUUAUGAAUAUUGUCAUUUACUUUUGUAAUUUAGUGGUGCUCAUAGUGUUUGCUGUUCUCUCCAGGUGCUGAUCUCUCGUGGGCUGCAGCUGGAGGGUCAGGUGGUGACUGAGGAGCAGGAUCUGCAGGUGAUGGUGAUGACAGGACAGAAGAACUCUCCCCUCCAGUAUCUCCUUGUCUCCGCCAUGCAGGACAGAGUCAGAGCUGCCGUGGCUCAGUCACAGGAGGCAGUUGGGAUGCUGAGCUCUCUGGGAGCCAGAAGAGACAGAAGCCAAAGCCCCACAGAAGACCAGCCCCCACCCAAGAUCUUCAUCCAGCCUGAAGAGGGGACUCAACCCGAACAGUCCCUAUCACUCUCUCUUGCCAGGCAUGCAACUCAGGCUUUUGCUCAAUUAGCAUCUCAGCCUGAUGUGAAACCACAGCCCCAGUCCCAGCCUUCCCCUACUCAACCACAAGCUCAAGCUCAGGCCCAACACCCACCAAUACCACAGAUUAUAGUCCAGGAAUACAGAGAGAAGAAGGCAAGUCCCAGUCCUCCACUCCUGUAUUCCUAUGCACAAGCUGUGACUCAGUCAAAGGGCCGAGCACAGUCACCUCCAGAGCCACAGGUUGCUGCCCAGAGCAAAAAACACUCUCCACCCCUAACCCAGAAACAACCACUAGUGCAGCAACCACCAUCUCAACAACAGCGUCCAACUCAGCAACAAGUACUCUCUCAGCAACAAGUACUCUCUCAGCAACAAGUACUCUCUCAGCAACAAGUACUCUCUCAGCAAGUACUAUUUCAACAACAGGUUCUAUCUCAACAACAAAUAUCUGCUCAGCAGCAGGUUCAAAGCCAGAAACAGGCCCAACAAUCAGCACAAGCCCAGAAACAGACUCCAUCUCAGCAACCGGAAAAGACACAGAAGCAGCCUCUAACCAAGGAAGAGAUGCUGAGCUGGAAGAAGCAACCUCAGGCCAUGAAGAACCGACCCUGGCUCCAGAAGAAGGUCAAGGAUCAGGAUCAGGCUUCAGCCCAGGCUCCAUCCCAAGCUCCAGCCCAGGCUCCAUCCCAAGCUCCUGCCCAGGCUUCUAAUCAAACACAGGCUCAACAACAGCCAGAGAAACCAAUCAUGUCUCAAGUCCCUGUCCAGGUAGUUCCACAGCCUGCAGGAACACCCAGGCCCCAGCCUCAGGCACAAGCCAGGACUAUGUUUCCUUCUCAAUCACAGGCCAUGUCUAGUGCUCAGGCUCUACCCCAAGCAGGGCCACAGCAAGUCCCCCAGGCAUAUCUUUAUGGCCAGCCUCCUGCCCAAUCUCUGACCCAACCCCAAGCAAAGACCAAGAGCCACACUCAACCUAAACCAACGGCCCAAGCCAAACAGCAACCCAAGACUAUUAUCCAUGCUCCAUCCCAAACCAUGACUCACACUGAACCCCAGCCCAUAACUCAAUCUCAACCUGUGACCUACUCACAAUCACAGAUGCAGGCCAUGUCUCAAUCCCGGAUGACUCAAGAGAAACCCCAGCCACAGGUCCAGAAACCUCAGCCACAGGUCCAGAAACCACAGCCACAGGUUCAUCAACUGAUGCAUCCACAGUCUCAAGCUCAGGCCCAACCACAUGCCCAAGCAUGGGCCCCAGUCAGGCUGCCACAAACACUCACUGAGACGCACCGGCUGGGCCUGCAUCCACAGGCCCAGUCUCACCCCCAGGCUCACCCACAACUCCAGGCCCAGCCUCACCCUCAAGUUCAGCCUCACCCUCAAGUUCAGCCUCAACUCCAGGCCCAGCCUCACCCUCAAGUUCAGCCUCACCCUCAAGUUCAGCCUCAACCCCGGGCCCGUCCUCAACCUCAUGUCCAGCCUCACCCCCAGGCACAACCUCACCCUCAUGUCCAGCCUCACCCCCAGGCUCAGCCUUAUCCUCAAGUCCAGCCCGAGGCCCAGCCUCAUCCUCAAGUCCAGUCGCAUCCCCAGGCUCAGCCUCACCUUCAAGUUCAUCCUCAUCCUCAUCCCCAGGCCCAGCCUCAAUCUCAUGUCCAGCCUCAACCUCAGGCCCAGCUUCACCUACAGGCCCAGCUUCACCCCCAGGCCCAGCCUUACCCUCAAGCUCAGUCUCACCCCCAGGUCCAACUUCAUCCUCAUCCUUAUUCCCCUGCUCAGGCUCAACCCCAACAAUGGGCCCCAGUCAGACCCUUCAGCCCAAUUUACCCUCAGCCAAAGGGUCAUCCCCAGGUAACCCCAGUCAGACCUGAACCACGGCCACAAGCCUAUCCUCAGCCCAUCAUGGUCCAACGUCACCCUCUUCCUCAGGCUUGCCCACUAGGUCAAGCUCCACAGCAGCAAUGGGCCCCAAUCAGGCCAGAGCAAGCCCCCCAGGCAUAUCUUUAUGGCCAGCCCUAUGGCCAACCUCAAGCCCAAAUACAGCCCCAAAGCCAUGUUCAACAGCAGCCUCAGGUGAGAGCUUACAACCUUACCAAUGUUAAGGCCCAGCAAGGCCAGUUCCAACAGCAGCUAUGGGCCCAGCCCCAUCCCCAGCCUCAAAUUCAACCCCAGCCAUAUUUCCAGCCUCAGCCACCUCCCCAGACCCAAAUUCAACCCGCAACCCAUUUGCAGCCUCAGCCCCUCUCUCAGACUCAUUCUCAGUCCCAGAUCCAGACCCAGCUCAAACUUCAGCCUCAGCCCCACUCUCAACCUCAUUCUCAGCCCCAGAUCCAGCCCAAGCUUCAGCCUCAACCCCCCCCUCAGCCACAGCCUGAGCCCCAGAUCCAGAUGGCGCCCAAGCCCCAGACCCAUAUCCAGCCUCAACCCCACUCACAGCCCCAGACCAAGCCUCAGACUCAGCCCCAGCCCAUGAUCCAGCCCAUGCCCCAGCCCCAACCAGAGCCACCACCCCAGCCCAGUAUCCAGCCCCAGACCAAACACCAGCCACCUCCCCAGCCCAAUAUCCAGCCUCUUCCCCAGGUCAAGCUUCAGCUCCAGCCUAAGACCCAGCCCCAGGUCCUUUUCGAGCCUCAUCUCCUUCCCCAGUCACCACCAGAUUCCCCAGAGCUCCAGAUGAAACCCCCAGCUCUGGCCCAGGCCCCACCCCAGGCUUACACCGAGGCCUAUGCCAAAGCUCAGGCCCUGGCCAGGAACCAGUUUGAGGAGGCCAAGCACUGCCUGCAGGAGCACAUCCUGGCUGCCAUUAAUGUCUUCAAAGACAAACACAUAUCUAUCGAACAAGUUUCAGUUAAGGAGGAGACCCUGAGGACCCUGGACCCUGAGCUGUUGAAAGUGUUCCUGAGGGCAGCAGAGGGUAUGGAGGCCUUCUGCACCAUGCCUCAGCUCAGAGAUAUGGAGUUCUUCACACAGUCUGUCAGGACCCAAUGGGAGGCUGUGAGAGCUGAGACAGCGGCGUUUUUGCAGCAUUUACGAUUUGAAAUGAAGAGAAAAUACUUUAACACAGCUGCCUUGCAGUGUGAGAUGCACUUUAACUCAAAAUUAGCAUCCAAAGCGAAGGUAAAAUAA